UCCUUGCAUUUUCAGUUUAUGUUUUUUUAUAUUAUACACCUAUAACAGAAUGUUAUUAAUUGGCUUUAAAUGCCUUUAAACUUAUACAACUUUCAACAACGGAUCUCUUGGCUCUCGCAUCGAUGAAGAACGCAGCGAAAUGCGAUAAGUAAUGUGAAUUGCAGAAUUCAGUGAAUCAUCGAAUCUUUGAACGCACCUUGCGCUCCUUGGUAUUCCGAGGAGCAUGCCUGUUUGAGUGUCAUGAAAUUCUCAACCUUUUCAACCUUUGUUUUGGUGGAUCAGGAUUGGAUGUGGGAGCUUGCAGGCUUGUUCAGAAGUCGGCUCUCCUUAAAUGCAUUAGUGGGACCUUUGUUAAGCCUAGCUUUGGUGUGAUAAUUAUCUAUGCCAUUUGCUCAAGCAGUAUACAAUGAGGUCUUGCUUCUAAUGGUCUCUCUUAGAGACACCUUCUGACAAUUGACCUCAAAUC
rnacentral:rRNA from 1 species